AAUCAACGCUGGCGGCGUGCCUAACACAUGCAAGUCGAACGCGAAAGCCCGCAAGGGUGAGUAGAGUGGCGCACGGGUGAGUAACACGUGGACAACCUGCCUUCGAGUGGGGAAUAACCUUCCGAAAGGAGGGCUAAUACCGCAUAACACCUCGGGACACAAGUUCUGGGGUUGAAAAGAGCAAUUUGCUCGAAGAGGGGUCCGCGCCUGAUUAGCUAGUUGGUGAGGUAACGGCUCACCAAGGCUUCGAUCAGUAGCCGUCCUGAGAGGGAGCACGGCCACACUGGAACUGAGACACGGUCCAGACUCCUACGGGAGGCAGCAGUGGGGAAUUUUGGCAAUGGGCGAAAGCCUGACCAAGCAACGCCGCGUGGGUGAUGAAGUAUCUUGGUACGUAAAACCCUUUCGGCAGGGACGAACCUAAUGACGGUACCUGCGGAAGAAGCCCCGGCUAACUCCGUGCCAGCAGCCG
rnacentral:rRNA from 1 species